rnacentral:rRNA from 1 species
GUGCCAGCAGCCGCGGUAAUACGUAGGGUGCGAGCGUUGUCCGGAAUUAUUGGGCGUAAAGGGCUCGUAGGCGGCCUGUCGCGUCUGCUGUGAAAGCCCGGGGCUCAACCCCGGGUCUGCAGUGGAUACGGGCAGGCUAGAGUCCGGCAGGGGAGACUGGAAUUCCUGGUGUAGCGGUGAAAUGCGCAGAUAUCAGGAGGAACACCGGUGGCGAAGGCGGGUCUCUGGGCCGGUACUGACGCUGAGGAGCGAAAGCGUGGGGAGCGAACAGGAUUAGAUACCCUGGUAGUCC